GGUGAUUAAAACUACUCAAAUCACCCUGGCAGAGGUGGCAUUCUUUCCUCACUACCCGCUCCAAUGUUCUGAGUUCCUGAGUGAAAGACACACACACACACACACACACACACACACACACACACACAGAGUCUUCUAUUUUAAUAUGCCUUAGUCAGCCCAGUGUCUGGGCCACUCCCAAAUGUCCACAUUGCUAACUCCUUCCCUCGUAUUCUCCUGAAUAAAAUCCUCCUUAUUAAAAUCUAUAUUCCAUCUUUGCUACCCUAGACCCAGUGGAGGAUGCUGUGGCAGCUCUUCCCCAGCUCUUACAUGAUUGGUAUGCUCUCUUCUGCAACUCUCAAGCCUGUAUCGUAUUCCUUUCCCAGCAUGGUAAUUCCCCUUCUUUCUCUUGGUCCCCUUGCUUGCCUCUGUCUCCCUGCCCAGCCAUUGGCUGCCAGCAACUUUAUUUACCAAUCAGAACCAAAUAAUAUAAUGCAAGCACUAAACCAAAUUCACAACACACUUUAGAUAGAGAAAUAAAUAAAAACAUGUUUUAACAGCAAUUCUCUCUAAAUGUCUAUAUAAUUCUAGUCACAAUGUAAUUGUAUUUGUGGAGAAAUUGAUCCUGGGUUUCAUGUGAAAUGCAAAGGUAGCCCUUCAAGCAAAAGGAAAAUAGCUUCACUAGGGAAUCAUACCAAGAAUUUAACAAAGCAACAGUGGUCCGUAGAAACUCUUCCAGAAGAGUAAAGUAUGCUUGCUAGUUGAUUCUGGAUUUGAGAGUCACUGCUACAAAAUAGCAGGAAAAAAAAAAUAACUAGAGGAAAAGAAACCACAAAAUAAUAGCCCUUAUGAGCACAAGUAAAAAUUUGCCUUAUGAAAUUUUGGGAAAGUCCAGUAUCAUUAAAGGUGAUUGUUUAAAAGUUUCCAGUGCAAACUUGGUUUGGUAUUCAAAAAUCAGUCCUGGCCACUAAUAGAUUAAAAAAAAAAGAUAGCUGCAAGAUAAUUUCAAUGUAUUUAAUAAAAGAAUUCCACAAAAAUCCAAAAUUCUGGACUUCAAAAAGCCUCAGCAAAGUAGUAAGGGAACUUAUUCAUUUGGAUAAAAAAGGUACCUUAUGGAAAGAAGAAAAAAGGUAAAAAACCCUACAGCUAAUCUCAUUGUGUGAACGGCAUAUUUUCUUUGUAAGAUCAUGAAAGAGCUGCAUUGUACAGCAUGGAAUACAGAUGUCAGAUAAGUCCAGUAAAAGAUAUUUGCAUGAUAACUUUGGGAGAAUUUAAAGUCAUAACAGCACUUAUAUAUACUUAAUUGAACACCUAGAAUUCCAUUUAAUUCACAUUCAGUUUUGGCAAGGAUGUGGAACACUUGGCACAUUGCUGGUGGGCAUGUAGGUUAGAGUGACAAACUUGGAAAACAAUGUAGUAGUUUCUUUAAAAGCUCAAAGUUUUCCUUUGCUAAAAUGUCAUUUUAUUUUUAAUUAUGUUGUAUAUAUUUGUGUGCCCUUCCCCCAGACUUGAGCAGGCUAAAUAGACCUUAAGUGUUUGCCACUAUUGGACCUUAAUGAUCCAGGUGGAGUCAAUUCCCUACAGGAGUAGACUGCCAGCUGAGCUUGUUUUGUAACUCAAUCCAGCUGAAACAAAGGAUGGGGAGGGGUCUGUGGGUUUUCCCUAUAUAAGCACAGUGCUGACUAUUAAACUUUGAGCCUUGAUCAGAAAUCUUUGUCUUGGCUUCAUCCUUCUCUUGCCUGCCCAUCCUUUUUCAUUCCCAGCCUCACUUUCAGAUACCCAGUUCUCUGUGGCUGCAUGACAGCUACAGGUGGUGCCAGCAUGAGGGGCCUGAAAACUGGGGGACCCACUGAGAAAUGCUGUCUUGGAUGGAGCUCCACAGAAAACAGAAGAAAAGUAACAGUAUCCUGCAUCGUGAUUGGUCGCCUUCACAGAGGAUUGCCUUCAGCAAGCUCAGCUACUCACCAUGGCAGUUAUUCAUCUCUAUGAAGAAAUGCAUUGAGUGCAUAUUAUAUGUCCUUCAUGGCUUUCGUCUGAAUGAGAAAGAGUGUGGUUUGGAAGGCCAGUGGCCAGAGAUGGGUAACCAAGUUCUUGAGCUCCUAUUGACCUAAGACAGAGACAUACAUCAAAAAGCAAUGGAAGAGGUCCAUGACAGGUAAGAAGGAACAAUAUAGACAUGGACCUAAGACAUUCACCUAGCCACUUUAUACCCUGGAUGGGAUUAUGGAAAACGAGUAAAUCUUGUGCCCCUGUCCAGCUACUGAUGACUGCUCAUCUUUAUAAAACAAAAAAAGGGGGGAUUGUUCCCUUCUCCCAGCCUUGAGCAGGCAAAAUAGACCUUUUAAGUGCUUGCCAUGGUUGGACUUUAACAACUCAGGUGGAGUCAAUUCCCUACAGGAGUAGACUGCCAGCUGAGCUUGUUUUGUAACUCAAUCCAGCUGAAACAAAGGAUGGGUCUGUGGUCUCUCCCUACAUAAAUGCAAUGCUGACUAUUAAACUUUGAGCCUUUAUCAGACACCUUUGUCUUGGCUUCAUCCUUCUCUUGCCCACCCAUCCUUUUUCAUUCCCAUCUUCCCUUUCAGGUACUCGGUUCUCUGUGGCUGUGAUAUGAGUGCAGGAAAUGGAACUAGGAAAAAAAAAACUCCCAUCUGUGGCAUGCAGAGUGAUGCAUGCCUGGGAUGCUAGCACCCAAGAAGCUGAUGUAAGAGUUCAAGACAGGAGCAAGUUGUCCUUCAAGAGGCUCCACCCAGCAACUGACUCAGACAGAUACAG